UACGGAGGGUGCAAGCGUUGUCCGGAAUCAUUGGGCGUAAAGCGCGUGUAGGCGGCCUCGUCAGUCCGCUCUGAAAGCCUGGGGCUCAACCCCAGGAGGCGGGUGGAUACUGCGAGGCUCGAGUACGGAAGAGGCGAGUGGAAUUCCCGGUGUAGCGGUGAAAUGCGCAGGUAUCGGGAGGAACACCAAUGGCGAAGGCAGCUCGCUGGGACGUUACUGACGCUGAGACGCGAAAGCGUGGGGAGCAAACAGG
rnacentral:misc_RNA from 1 species